UACAGAGGUCUCAAGCGUUGUUCGGAUUCAUUGGGCGUAAAGGGUGUGUAGGUGGCGCCGUAAGUCGGGUGUGAAAUUUCGGAGCUCAACUCCGAAAUUGCACUGGAUACUGCUCUGCUAGAGGGCUGGAGAGGAGAUCGGAAUUCACGGUGUAGCAGUGAAAUGCGUAGAUAUCGUGAGGAAGACCAGUGGCGAAGGCGGAUCUCUGGACAGCUCCUGACGCUGAGGCGCGAAGGCUAGGGGAGCAAACGGG
rnacentral:rRNA from 1 species